UUCUGCCUACCUCUCGCGCGCCGCCCAGGACCCUUACCCGCCACUGCGUCUUGGCCCCGCGCAUUCCCGCCCGAGGGACCCGCGCUAAGGCGGGUCUGACUCUCCGAUGCCACCUGCCGCUCACAUCCACUGAAAUGGCCUCAUUGCUCGCAGACACAGCGGAUAGGGUGCCCCAGUGUCUCCUGGAGCUGUAGCGUUGGAAGUUCUCCGGUUUAAAGGUGGCUGCAGAAGCUGGGGUCGGGCUGUGCCCAGGAGUGGAAGGCUGGGCCAGAGGCCUCCUGCUAAGGCCACACAGAAGUCCAGGAACAUGCAUUUUCCUCCCCCUUGUCUCACCUGCUCCUCCACCUC